UGGGGAAUAUUGCACAAUGGGCGCAAGCCUGAUGCAGCCAUGCCGCGUGUGUGAAGAAGGCCUUCGGGUUGUAAAGCACUUUCAGCGAGGAGGAAGGUGGUGAGCUUAAUACGCUCAUCAAUUGACGUUACUCGCAGAAGAAGCACCGGCUAACUCCGUGCCAGCAGCCGCGGUAAUACGGAGGGUGCAAGCGUUAAUCGGAAUUACUGGGCGUAAAGCGCACGCAGGCGGUUUGUUAAGUCAGAUGUGAAAUCCCCGGGCUCAACCUGGGAACUGCAUUUGAAACUGGCAAGCUAGAGUCUCGUAGAGGGGGGUAGAAUUCCAGGUGUAGCGGUGAAAUGCGUAGAGAUCUGGAGGAAUACCGGUGGCGAAGGCGGCCCCCUGGACGAAGACUGACGCUCAGGUGCGAAAAGCGUGGGGAGCAAAACAGGAUUAGAUACCCCUGGUAGUCCACGCUGUAAAACGAUGUCGAUUUUGGAGGUUGUG
rnacentral:rRNA from 1 species